rnacentral:rRNA from 1 species
GACGAACGCUGGCGGCGUGCCUAAUACAUGCAAGUUGAGCGAUGAAGCUUGGUGCUUGCCCCAAUUUGAAGAGCAGCGAACGGGUGAGUAACGCGUGGGGAAUCUGCCUUUGAGCGGGGGACAACAUUUGGAAACGAAUGCUAAUACCGCAUAAUAACUUUAAACAUAAGUUUUAAGUUUGAAGGAUGCAAUUGCAUCACUCAAAGAUGAUCCCGCGUUGUAUUAGCUAGUUGGUGAGGUAAAGGCUCACCAAGGCGAUGAUACAUAGCCGACCUGAGAGGGUGAUCGGCCACAUUGGGACUGAGACACGGCCCAAACUCCUACGGGAGGCAGCAGUAGGGAAUCUUCGGCAAUGGACGAAAGUCUGACCGAGCAACGCCGCGUGAGUGAAGAAGGUUUUCGGAUCGUAAAACUCUGUUGGUAGAGAAGAACGUUGGUGAGAGUGGAAAGCUCAUCAAGUGACGGUAACUACCCAGAAAGGGACGGCUAACUACGUG